AAAAUCAGGCUUCUUCCUCUCUCUAACUCUAGGAUCUCCCCUACCUCUCUCUAAAAAUUCUUCAUCUCAUCUCUAUAAACCUAGGGAUUUCUUGUUAAAUCUUUGAGUUUUUUUGAAGAAUUGAUGGUAUAAUUGGAAUUAAGAACUCAAGAUAAGGUUAAAAAUUGAAGAUUGAUGAAAUUUCUUCAAGUUGGUGCUGUUAGAGGAGACAGAUUCGUUUUGGUAAUCUGAAAAGAGGGAAUYAUUCAUAAGCCUCGAAUUUUGUUUGAUCAUAUUUAAAACACUUUCAAGGUUCAAGAUCUAACUUAGGGGCAGGAUGAAGGGUCGAGAUGGCUUAAGAUUCUAAAAGACUAGCGAUUGAAUAUAGUGUUUUUGCUAUGUUAUUAGGUGAUUAUGUUAGUGCUAUGUAAUAUAAUGGUUGUAAAGUUUUUUGGGAGUUCCAUUAGAGCUCUGUACUAUAAAUGGUAGACUUUUGAUC